rnacentral:rRNA from 1 species
UACGUAGGGUCCGAGCGUUGUCCGGAAUUAUUGGGCGUAAAGAGCGCGUAGGCGGUCCGAUAAGUCGGCUGUGAAAGUCAAGGGCUCAACCCUUGAAAGCCGGCCGAUACUGUCGGACUAGAGUCCGGAAGAGGCGAGUGGAAUUCCCGGUGUAGCGGUGAAAUGCGCAGAUAUCGGGAGGAACACCGGUGGCGAAGGCGGGUCUCUGGGCCAAAAACUGACGCUGAGGAGCGAAAAGCGUGGGGAGCGAACAGG